GUGAAAUGGAUUUUCCGCCUAAAGAGAAGCUUGCGGCUGAUUAGCUUGUUGGUAAGGUAAUGGCUUACCAAGGCGACGAUCAGUAUCUGGUUUGAGAGGACGAUCAGACACACUGGAACUGAGACACGGUCCAGACUCCUACGGGAGGCAGCAGUAGGGAAUUUUCCGCAAUGGGCGAAAGCUUGACGGAGCAAUACCGCGUGAGGGAUGACUGCCUAUGGGUUGUAAACCUCUUUUUUCAGGGAGGAAUAAUUGACGUGUACCUGAAGAAUAAGCAUCGGCUAACUCCGUGCCAGCAGCCGCGGUAAGACGGAGGAUGCAAGGGUUAUCCGGAAUCACUGGGCGUAAAGCGUCUGUAGGUGGUUAAAUAAGUCAACUGUCAAAUCUUAGGGCUUAACCUUAAAAUCGCACUCGAAACUAUUAGACUAGAGUAUAGUAGAGGUAAAGGGAAUUUCCAGUGGAGCGGUGAAAUGCGUAGAGAUUGGAAAGAACACCAAUGGCGAAGGCACUUUACUGGG
rnacentral:rRNA from 1 species